UGCGUAGGCGGCUCGGCAAGUUGGGUGUGAAAUCCCUCGGCUCAACCGAGGAACUGCGCUCAAAACUGCCGGGCUAGAGGGAGACAGAGGUGAGCGGAACUUAGGGUGGAGCGGUGAAAUGCGUUGAUAUCCUAAGGAACACCAGUAGCGAAAGCGGCUCACUGGGUCUCUUCUGACGCUGAGGCACGAAAGCUGGGGGAGCGAACAGGAUUAGAUACCCUGGUAGUCC
rnacentral:rRNA from 1 species